rnacentral:lncRNA from 1 species
UUUUCAGCUGUAAAAUCAAAUUAGUCAGUUUCAGCUAAGCUAUUUUGUACAUAUCUGUAAAAAUAAUUCCAGCAACAAAGCUCACUUGUUAAUUUUUCGAUAAUUGCAUUUUUUAUUUCAACUAAAUCUAUUUCACGGAGAUGACGAACAUUUGGUUUGUCUUCCGUCUGACUUUUGUCGUCCGUGACUCCGUGGUCCCGUGGAUGCUAAGGGCUGUCACUAGGUGGCCAAAUAAUUCAAUGUGUUUAGGGAUUGAACUAUUCAGCCCUAGUGUGUAGAGGGAUGAAUGGGGGCGUUAUUUAAGUUUUGACUUUUGAGACGACAUUCUAAUUCCUCUUUCUUUUAAACUGUGACGCUGUCCGAGAAUAGUGACUCUAGUCAUUGCUGAGUGCAUUUUUCUGAAAUUCUUCGUCGAAAAAGCAUUAUGGAGUUUGAACUGUCUGAACAUGUGUUGCGUGCACGUUAUCGCUGUCUUGUCAUGAAAAUGCGUCCUAGAGAAGGUUCUUCCAUAUUGAAUGACAAAUAAGGUGAAAAGAGGAAAUCUGGAAAGGAUUCCUUGGUCAGUUUGGUGUUUGAGCUGUCGAUGGUGUUGUCUGGUGUGAAUCUUGCAGUCAUUUUCCAUCUGAGAGCUUCCCUGUAAUGGAACUUGUAUGAAUUUGCAGUUGGACAUCAUACUUAAGUCUUUUGGUGGUGUUCAUGUUUUCAUGGACCGUUAAAUGAUCGAGCUGUUUUGUUGGGGCUGUUUGGGGUGCAGUGGUUUUCCAGUUGCGAGAUGCGUAGCAGUGGAGCUUUGCAUAUUUCUUGUUUAAUGGCUUCAGAGUUUGUUCACCAGCGGUCAACAUCCUAGUGUUGGCAACAUAGCAAACUUAUGCCGCCGACGUCAUUUCUAUUCCGGGUCCUGUCAGGUACGGUGUUCGUGAAGACGUGAACAGUGCCGUCAACUUCAACAUUCUUCUUCACAGAUAUCUCCAAGUAGGAUUAAUGGCUUGGUGAAGUUGAGCUUUUUCAAGGCUGUCCAAUUUCCACUUCGAUAUGUUGCAGCUAGCUGGUUAAUGGUGUGGUAAAUUGUUGCAUGAAGGCCAUGCACUGUUGUGAGCUUCUGGAUGCAGUCUGGUGCUUCUGUUGGGAAUUUUGGUGCUGUCUGCAGAGUGUGGUGCUGGCUGGAAAUUUGAAGAGCUCACUGCCUUAACAAUUGAGUAUAUCCAAUCAGUUUGAUGUCGACUUUAAUUAGUGUCUCCAUUUGGUGUGCAUUUCAUAUUUGGGUGGUUACUAGUUGCUGGUUGCAGAAGCUGUUGAAAAGUCUAUUGAGCUGCAGGUUUUGGAAGCCAUCUUCAUUGCUGGUAUCAUAUCCUGAAGUGUAAAAGAAAUGAAGUCAUCUUGAAAUGGUCUUGGUGAUGAUGGGAUCAUCAAUCUUUUGUGUGCAGUUUUUGCUAUCAAGAAUUGGAGAAGUAAAACUUGUAGCAAAGCUGCCAGAAAAAGAAAUGGUGUCAACGUAAAUGUGCACGGGUUUUGCAGUCUUGACUCCUGUUCAAGCUGUUGCUUUCCUGAAUAAGUAGCUGGACCAGAAGUUAUGAUGCCGAUGUGAUCCUGAAAUAGCUGUUGGUGGUGUAAUCAAGUAACUGUGGCAGUGCAAUUCGGGUUGAUUAAAAAUAUUAUAUGCAUAUAGUAUGUAACUGUAGUAACCCGUUAUCCAUUGUGAAAUGUUGUAAUCUGAUGUUUGUUUAAACAGCAGUUGUGCUUCCUGAUAUUAUCCUUACCCACAUUUAUCAAAAUUUGCCAUAUUUUUAUGUGUUGGAAAUUUACACUUGAUAUUUUUUCACAAUUAUGUCAAAUGUUAUAAUAAAUAAAA